rnacentral:rRNA from 1 species
GGAGCUUGCUCCCUGAUGUUAGCGGCGGACGGGUGAGUAACACGUGGGUAACCUGCCUGUAAGACUGGGAUAACUCCGGGAAACCGGGGCUAAUACCGGAUGGUUGUUUGAACCGCAUGGUUCAGACAUAAAAGGUGGCUUCGGCUACCACUUACAGAUGGACCCGCGGCGCAUUAGCUAGUUGGUGAGGUAACGGCUCACCAAGGCAACGAUGCGUAGCCGACCUGAGAGGGUGAUCGGCCACACUGGGACUGAGACACGGCCCAGACUCCUACGGGAGGCAGCAGUAGGGAAUCUUCCGCAAUGGACGAAAGUCUGACGGAGCAACGCCGCGUGAGUGAUGAAGGUUUUCGGAUCGUAAAGCUCUGUUGUUAGGGAAGAACAAGUGCCGUUCAAAUAGGGCGGCACCUUGACGGUACCUAACCAGAAAGCCACGGCUAACUACGUGCCAGCAGCCGCGGUAAUACGUAGGUGGCAAGCGUUGUCCGGAAUUAUUGGGCGUAAAGGGCUCGCAGGCGGUUUCUUAAGUCUGAUGUGAAAGCCCCCGGCUCAACCGGGGAGGGUCAUUGGAAACUGGGGAACUUGAGUGCAGAAGAGGAGAGUGGAAUUCCACGUGUAGCGGUGAAAUGCGUAGAGAUGUGGAGGAACACCAGUGGCGAAGGCGACUCUCUGGUCUGUAACUGACGCUGAGGAGCGAAAGCGUGGGGAGCGAACAGGAUUAGAUACCCUGGUAGUCCACGCCG